CCGCCCCCCCGGACUCUCAGUCUGCAGAAGGGUCUCGACCACAAACGUCGCCUGUUCCUUGUUCUCCAGUGAUGCUGUCUGUCCCGCUCAGUGUAUGCCAAAUACCCUUUUAAAAAUUACUCAGGAAUCUCGUUGCAUCACCCGUUCAAGCAGCCACUUCCAGACGACUGGGACCUUGUCACUUACUUUGCUCCAAGCGUCACUGGGCUGAGAUCCAGCCUGUGCUUUGUCUUGUGGAGCAAGCUAUUCAACUUCAUUUCACCGAUGGAAGGGAGCAGCAGAGGUACAGCGAUGCAAAACAGCCCCAACUGAGGCGGAAGGGAGACACCAGACCGGUCUUUCUUUUUCUGUCCCUGGAGAUACUUCAGUCUGCCUUGGAACUUCAUCGUCUGUUGUGAGAAAGAUUAUUGUUUAAGUGAAAGCAAUGUGGAAUUAUGGAAGGAAGAGAGAACUAAGAUACAGAUCACCCUGAUCUAAUCAAACAAUAGAUGACCUACAAGGAGUGGACUGGAGAGAGAUUGAAGCGUGGAUUCCUGUGGAGGCAGCAAGAAGGAUGAGAUAGAGUUAGAAGGGCAAGAUUCAAAGGGGAAGAAGUACAGAAUCACAGCACAAAAACAGGCCCUUCUCUCAUUUAAAGAGAAAAAUGCUGCUUUUUUAAAACGAAAGCAUAUUUCACGUACAGUAAGUGGACCCACAAACUGCUACAUAUUGCCACCUCCAUCCCAUCCCCACAAGAGUUCUGCCAAAUCUCCGACCACAUGGAU